CGCAACACUGACGUUGUUCUUCAAGUUGGGCGCCUUUUAUUUGUAUCUGCAUUUACUUCGCUGUUACAACAUCCCGCGGGACCGGUGUAUUUAGAACAAGAGGACGGGCACACGCCCAGGGAGGCGCGGAGAGCACCGAGAGCUCAGGGGCGGCGGGGGUCCCGCCGCGGCACCGCCCGAGCAGCAGCGGCAGCCCCGGCACAGGGUCGGGCGGCAGCCUGAACCAGCGCUCCCCAGCGAGGGCAGCGCCGACGUGGGCGCCCGGCUGCACAGCGCUCCUCGCCGCCUCGCUGGAACGUAAAGCCCCCAUAAAGAGGCUAGAUACAAAGCAAGGAGCCCACAAACACCGUUUGGGAAUGAUGGGUAGCGGGAGGACGUGCAUCCGGUGUUCACCACGGGAGCCUUCGGGAAGCUUGAUUUCAACGCCGCGUCGUACUCGCUGCCAAUGACCCGGGUGCGGGCGGCCGGGUUUGGCCCGGGCGAUGGGCCCCGCGCACCUCCUCGCCAUCGCCCUCCGCGACCAUCUUUUCACGCACGCACAACCUCCGCCUCCGGGGGCGUGGGGCAAUCCUCCCCCACACCUUACAGACCACUUCCCGCCGACUCAGGCCCGCAGGAUCCCUGCGGUCGUCGCGUCCGACCCGUCAGCGGCUCCGUCCGCCUCCGGGCACCUGGCUGUCGCGGGGCAGCAGCGCAGCCCUUCUUUUCAUCCACGGACCGUCUCGAGUCUUUCCCGCAUUUAUUCUGGCACGCCGGCGGAAUCAGACCGCGCUGCCGAAGCCGGCGGGCGAACGGCAGAGGUUUCCCGGCGGGAGCCAGGGGCAGACGGUCCCUUCGCCGGGGCGGGAACGCCGGCUGCACCCCUCCACGCCCCCACCCCAAAACCCAUCUGCCGCCUUCCCCCGCAGCGCCGUGACCGCCGGCGCGGCCUCGGCCGGCACGACUUUUCGGACGCCCCAGAUUUCCAUUCCCCUCGGGAAAACAGUCCCCGAUCUGGCAAGCGGCCCUCGGUGUUCCCGCGGCUGCCGGCGACACCCCCGAGCUGCCACGCGGGGCGAAGUCGCCUCCGCAAGCCCCGGGCACGGCACUUGCGCGACCACGCAGCGUUGCGCGGGCCCCGCGCGCCCCCUUGCGCCGUGCGCCCGCGGCUCUCGGCGGCGCGCCGGGAGCGUCGCGCACCGCGGCCGCGGCGCUGCCGCUCUGCCGCCGGGCUGCUCUCCGCUCUGCCCCCGGCGCUGCUCUCCGCUCUGCCCCCGGCGCUGCCGCUCUGCCCCCGGGCUGCCGCUCUGCCCCCGGCGCUGCUCUCCGCUCUGCCCCCGGCGCUGCCGCUCUGCCCCCGCCGCUGCCGCUCUGCCCCCGGGGCUGCCGCUCUGCCCCGGCGCUGCUCUCCGCUCUGCCCCCAGCGCUGCCGCUCUGCCCCCGGGGCUGCCGCUCUGCUCCCGGCACUGCCUCUCUGCCCCCGGGGCUGCCGCUCUGCUCCCGGCACUGCCUCUCUGCCCCCGGGGCUGCCGCUCUGCCCCCGGCGCUGCCGCUCUGCCCCCGGGGCUGCCGCUCUGCCCCCGGCGCUGCCGCUCUGCCCCCGGGGCUGCUCUCCGCUCUGCCCCCGGGGCUGCCGCUCUGCCCCGGCGCUGCUCUCCGCUCUGCCCCCGGGCUGCCGCUCUGCCCCCGGCGCUGCCCUGCCGCUCUGCCCACCCGCUCGGCCUGAGUCCGCUCGUGUGCCCCCGGGACGCAGCAGGUCUCCAGGGCAGCGCUGUGGGCUCUCCCUGCGGCACCCCUCUAAUGCUGUCUCGCCGGACUUCGGACCGUUGAGGAGCACCAUGCUAAUGGCCUAUCACCACUUUAAUGGCAAUGGGAAGAAGAAAGGGAGAUGGUAUUUUUUCUUUGCUAUUUGA
rnacentral:lncRNA from 1 species